rnacentral:rRNA from 1 species
UCAGAUUGAACGCUGGCGGAAUGGCUUUACACAUGCAAGUCGAACGGUAGAGGGGGCAACCCCUUGAGAGUGGCGAACGGGUGAGUAAUAUAUCGGAACGUGCCCAGUCGUGGGGGAUAACGUAGCGAAAGUUACGCUAAUACCGCAUACGAUCUAUGGAUGAAAGCGGGGGAUCGCAAGACCUCGCGCGAUUGGAGCGGCCGAUAUCAGAUUAGGUAGUUGGUGAGGUAAAGGCUCACCAAGCCGACGAUCUGUAGCUGGUCUGAGAGGACGACCAGCCACACUGGGACUGAGACACGGCCCAGACUCCUACGGGAGGCAGCAGUGGGGAAUUUUGGACAAUGGGCGCAAGCCUGAUCCAGCAAUGCCGCGUGCAGGAUGAAGGCCUUCGGGUUGUAAACUGCUUUUGUACGGAACGAAACGGUGAGCUCUAAUACAGUUUGCUAAUGACGGUACCGUAAGAAUAAGCACCGGCUAACUACGUG